AGGAAUGCUGAAAAGGAAAAGUUCCCGGGUGAAGGACUGUGGUGCGUACCAUAUAAUGAUAAAUUGAUAAAUAAUGGGGGGAGGAAGAAAGCAGAGAUGGAAUCAUAAACGUUAACCAGCAUACCGGGUGAAGGACUAUGGUGCGUACCAGAUAAUGAUAAAUUGAUAAAUAAUGGGGGGAGGAAGAAAGCAGAGAUGGAAUCAUAAACGUUAACCAGCAUACAUUACGACUAUUCAGAGAUAUACAUUGUCAAAACGAAUAAAUAAACCUUAAGAAAACAUUUGAUACAAUGCCGCACACAGAAGCCUGUUAAAUGGAAAAGCGUAGAUUGGCAAUGGCAGGGUCAUUACCCAUAAUACAUCGAGUUUCGAACCAUGCGCUAUUGACCUUGGGGAUUUCUUUGUUAUCAGAAGUUGUUAGCAAUUGUACAAAAGUACAAGAAUACAUCAAAUAGUUUAAUGCGGUGAAGCAUGCUUUGACAACAGUACCAUCUUAGUGAAAACAAAAGAUACUUGUUACUCCUUGCAUUCUAGUUUAUAUGACUAUUUUCUUAUUAGUCCAUUCCAUGCCGUAUUCGGAGGAGUGGUGACUAGAGAGUACAAGCCAGACGAAACGACGGUGGCUCCAUACGGGAAAAAAAAAUUGACAUAUUCCUAUAUUCUGCAUUCCAGUUUAUAUGACAAUAUUUUCUUAUUAAUCCAUUCCAAAAAAUUGACAUAUUUAACUUUGACCUUUUCAGCUUGCCCUUAAUGAGAAGAUUGUAUAAUCGCACAAAUGUUAUUAAAUCUUUAAGACAACAGAUUUUAAAAGUCUUCCUUUCUUUGUUAAACUACGUGCCAAGUUAAAUU
rnacentral:lncRNA from 1 species